AGCGAACGCUGGCGGCGUGCUUAACACAUGCAAGUCGAACGUGAAAUGUAGCAACACAGAGUAAAGUGGCGUACGGGUGAGUAACACGUGGGUAAUCUACCAAAGAGCCUGGAAUAACCGACCGAAAGGUUGGCUAAUACAGGAUUGUUCAAAUGAAGAAUAAUGAUUCGAUUGGGAAAGGGAGCGAACAAUCGCCUUUACUUUUUGAUGAGCCGGGGUCUGAUUAGCUAGUUGGUAGGGUAAUGGCCUACCAAGGCGACGAUCAGUAGCUGGUCUGAGAGGAUGAUCAGCCACACUGGAACUGAAACACGGUCCAGACUCCUACGGGAGGCAGCAGUGGGGAAUCUUGCGCAAUGGACGAAAGUCUGACGCAGCCACGCCGCGUGAGUGAAGAAGGCCUUCGGGUUGUAAAGCUCUGUCGGAAGGGACAAAAACGUUUAAGGUUAAUAGCCUUAGAUCUUGAUGGUACCUUCAAAGGAAGCACCGGCUAACUUCGUGCCAGCAGCCGCAGUAA
rnacentral:rRNA from 1 species